UUUAUCAUCUUCAACAUUACAAGAAAAGAGAAAAACCUAGAGAUAGAGAAGGGGGGGCUCACGGCCAUGGUGAAAAAAAUCCAUGUUCACCAAGCUUGGUCCAAUUAAUUUUUCCAUGGUGUUGUAAAUCAAAUGGAGGUCUUUGGGAACAUGAAUUGGUCCUUGAGAGCAGCAAGAAUGGUCUUUAAUUGAAGCCAUUAAAUUCAGCAAAUUAAGGAGCAACUUGCUAAGACCUUGGGCAGCCCGAAUCAUAGGUUGGAUUUAGCUUGAGUUUGGAUCGUAUUGGAGAGCGUUUGAGGUACAGACGCACACCCUGGUGAUCCACCUGUUUAGGACACCCUUUCUGCUAUUCGGAGUGCUCCUCUCUUUCCGGAGCUUAUACUUUUGGUAUAUAUAUUUAUUAGUGCAUUUGUAUAUAUUCGUUCAUGGGUACGGCGGGGCCCUGUCCCGUCAUAUGAUUCUGUCGGUCUGUUUAGAGGUCUGUGGACAUGUUUGUGGGUUAGGGUCUUUC